rnacentral:rRNA from 1 species
CCUGCAGGCGGUCUCGUAAGUGGGAUGUGAAAUCUCCUGGCUUAACUGGGAGGGGUCAUUCCAUACUGCGAGGCUCGAGGGCAGAAGAGGGAAGCGGAAUUCCCGGUGUAGUGGUGAAAUGCGUAGAUAUCGGGAGGAGCACCAGUGGCGAAGGCGGCUUCCUGGCCUGCUCCUGACGCUAAGAGGCGAAAGCUAGGGGAGCGAACGGGAUUAGAAACCCCGGUAGUCCUAGCCAUAAACGAUGGAUACUGGGUGUCGGUGGUCCUAACCCCAUCGGUGCCGAAGCUAACGCGUUAAGUAUCCCGCCUGGGGACUACGGCCGCAAGGUUAAA